GGUUUCUUUACUGACGUACAAACUUUUAUCUGUAACAUUUCAUUUUGUGCAAGAAAACUAAUGUUUGGGAAUCUUUUCUGUACUGACUCGAUAAUGUCGAUAAUCUAUAACAAAGAUCGUACUAAAAAAAUAGGGUGACUAAAACUUUUGCACAGUACUGUGAGUGUGUGUGUGUGUGUGUGUGUAUACAAUAUCUCACAAAAGUGAGUACACCCCUCACAUUUCUGUAAAUAUUUGAUGAUAUCUUUUCAUGUGACAACACUGAAGAAAUGACACUUUGCUACAAUGUAACGUAGCGAGUGUACACCUUGUGUAACGGUGUAAAUUCGCCGUCCGCUCAAAAUAACUCACCACACAGGCGUUAACGUCUAAACCGCUGGCAACAAAAGUGAGCCAUUGACCUCAAUACCCUUUAUUUUUCAGCAGACAGUCGGGUCUCACUUUUCAUCAUUUGGGAGAGCGAUAAAGGUAAGACCUCAAUGAUCUUUCUCAGCAAUAAAGUAUUUUGAUUGCAGCAAAACGCUGAAAUGCAUCUACAGAAAAAGUCAUGUUGUAAAACCGAAAUUAAAUCAAUUGUACUUUUAUCAAUUUUCCUUUUUAUUAGAACUGUGAAGAAAUGGGAAACGAGUAUGGAGUCUUUGUAGGGUUCUUUGCCGGAUGGUUUCGUUACUUCUUGUUCUUCGUCUGGGUUUUGGACAUUGUACUGAUUUGGAUUGUAACAUACCUGGACAUUUAUUUGAUCAGAAGAAUCAGAAAUUUCUGUCACAUCUAUAGCUGCCACCCUCCCAGGCUUCAUUUCCAAAAAAAUACGCAGCCUUAGUACGUGACGACUUAGAGACUCCGCCACCAUGAGACGUCCCGAUGAAAGUCUCACUCCGAGCAUUGCUCUAAUGAUGACUUCAAGUUUUAUGUUUAUUGGACUGCUUCUCUUGUUUGACUUCUUUUUGUUUGAUUACUUUAUCAUUCGGUCUAUCUGUUGUUUGCUUGCUGUUCGCCUGACUACAUUAUCGAUUGUUCCUUUUGUUUUGGUGGUUUUUUUGGGGUCUGAUGAUGGUCUCUUAAUAAAGCCCUGUAUUUGCAUCUGAACGUGUGCAGACUUUCUGACAGUCUCAGACUGAUGGCUGUCAUUAAACCACAAUGACUAUAAAUAAAGUGAGGCCUUGGUAGGUGAAAAGAGGGUUGUGCGCUACUCACCUGAAGCGAGUUCAAAUCGCAGGACGGUCACAGAGCAAGACUUUUAACCAACGUAAAAAGAUUUCACUCAGUUUCUAUAGCUUUGCCCUGUUUGGGAAUCGAUUACUCUUGUGCUACUUUAAUCUCACCGUGCAGAAACCAACAGAAAACGAUCUUUUGAGCCUAGGUUCUCCUCAAGGUUUCUUCCUAAUGUUCUUAAGGCAUUGGAAUUUCUGUAAAGAUGCUUUGUGAGGACUUAUGGUAAAAACACUAUAAGGUUUAGCCCAAUAAUCGGGACCAAAUAAGAGAAGAGAAACAUCGGCGCAAAAAAUGAAAAUGAAAAACGUCUGAUCUCUUGGUAUUUUCACACACGGAGGCUCAAGAAUUCUGCUGAUCACACAGAAUGGUGUGAAAACCACCCAGUGAGCAGUAGUUCUCUGGGCGGAAAUGUUGAUGGGUGAGGUGAGAGGACAGGAAGCUAUAAGUAACCGAAAUAACCACUCUUUACAGCUGUGGUGAACAGAACAGCAUCUCACAGGCGGUCAGGCAAAAACAGGAAUCUAUCGCUUGAGGAUUUGUCCUAAUUGUAAUAAUCACAUUAAUCACUGCAAAUUCGGCUUCCGCUGUCAUUAUUUAUCCGCUUAUAAAAUAGCACUUGAUCCAGCACAGUAUUCUGCAUUUUAUUUUUUUCUCUCAUGCCUUGAUAGUUAAUGCACAACUUAAUCUAAUGUAAUGUGUGCGUAGGAUGUAGGAUUUUGUCAGUAUCCAUGUGGGAGCAUCCACAGCAUGAGAGCUCCGGUAGGUCCGGAGGGUGUGAGCUUAUGAAAGAUUAUGACACAUGCUGUCAAUGUAAUUCAAUAUUUCCUGAUCAGGAAACGUUCUGUAGCGAUCACUUGAGUGUAGCAUAGGCCCGGACGGCUAACGAAACAGCGAUGUUUGCUAAGAAUAAAGCAAACACCGACACACCCACACACACAUCACGGAGUCUGUCGAGAACAGGGCUCCAAAACACACCAUCACACUGUUUACUCUGACACCGGUGUUGAUUUCUCCAUGACAACGCAUCCUGUAGUUAAUGCCAAGGUCGAGUCUACACACUGAAGUCUAUUAUACGCUAAAUUAGACUUCAUAGGGCUGCACUUUAUACUGUGAUGACUGCUAUAGAGGUUUCACUUUCUCUUAUGUCAUCAUCUGACAUGGUGGAGUGUAUGACAUUCGGAAUGAAGUAAGUACGGUGGCUCGGUAGCGCACAAGACAACGAAAGUGAAAAAGCAAACAUAAAUUAACAACACAGCGGAAUCAAGCCGCGACGCAACGGAAAUGCGCCCGACCACUAGGGGCAGUAUCGGCAUGGAAAAGCCAGAUAUCUCAAGUGCUAAUGCAUGAUAUUUUGUUAAACCUUGAGACAUGAAAAGAGACGUCAUGAACUGAUCAUCUUAAUGGGCCAAUGCAUUAUUUUCAACUUAAACAAUUUAGCUCUGCUCUUGUGUCACGAAUCGACCCAUUAAGAUUACAAUUAAAUCCAAUUACGUACAUUAACUUAUACAGAGAAUCUCAUCAAGUCCUGAGGUUUAAUAAAAAAAUCGUGCAAUAACACCAGAAAUAUCAGACGCUUGUCCUUAAUGGCCAGGAGCAUUCUGUUUGUUAGGGCUUGAUUACACUGCGUUAACUUAUGUUCGCUUUUUAACCUUCGUGGCGUUGUAUAAGUAAGAAUUGUGAAACGCUACACAUUUUAUUAUUGUAUUCCUAAGUUCAUCCUAAGUGCGUGCAAACUUUUGCACUCAACCAUAAACGCACGAGUUGAGAUCAGAUUGUUCCUUAUCCAAAUAUUAGGCUAAUAUCCAGCCAGAGAUCAGAUAUUAAUGCAUGAUAUAAAUGAAGCCAUAUGUGUUCCUGAGUGCUUUCUGUUUUUCUUAUCACAUCUGGAAAAUGAAACUUUAAUGAGGGAUCUAGAAUUGUCCUGCAAUCAAAAAAAAUAUCCAUCACGCAGGCUAACGUUAGUCAUCCGCUUUCUGUUUUUCACAAUUUUCCGUCAUCUGGGAAAUCGGGAAACGCUUCGUUUUCAUCUCGUCUGUGGAAGCAGUGACAAGCCCCUUAUCUUUGAGGAGUACAGACCGUUAGCGUGAUCAGUUAUAAUAAAUCAUGUCAGCGUUAAAAAAAAAAAAAACACCCUUCAGAUACUUCGGCAAACACAUCAGUCGGCAGGAGAUUAGACCUGUUUUCGGUUAACAAAAGAGAAAAACGGCUAAACACACAGAGCAGAGGCAGCUUCGAAUCCAGUGUGGGCGCACACACAUUCCAGAAGCUUGAGGAAACGCUCAAGAAUAAGAGCAGUGAUCAGUGAAAACAUGGAGAUAUCGUGCUAGCAUCGAUUUUCUGAUUACAGGUAUCCAGGAAAUUAUUCAAGGUCAUCUCUGACCAAAGAAAAUUGCUAUUAGAAGCUAGCUCAGUGAUAUAUAUAUAU
ensembl:lncRNA